rnacentral:lncRNA from 1 species
GAGGUCGAAAGGGGGACCCAUGGGAUCGUUACCCUGAUCAUCCGGUCCGCGCCCGAGGGGGAUAUCCGUCUUGUGGACCCCAGUGAGUCUGAGCCCUGUGCCUAGGUUCGGGCGAGGCGGAACCUUGUGGCGAGGGGUCGGGCGCUCCCGACCCCGGGGUCGCGGUCGGACGAGGCAGAGCCUUGCGGCGAGUGGUCCGACGCUCUUGACCCCAAGACCGCGGUCGGGCGAGGCAGAGUCCCACUAUGAGUUCGGCUUGACGGCGAUUUCGUUAUCCCGGAUGGGACUGGGCCUUCAUGAUUGUUUCUUUAAGCGGUAUUUAGGAGAUCGUUAAUAUUUCCCCCCAACAGUAGCCCCCGAGCCUG